GGCACUAUGGCGGAGUGGUUAUCGCGUGGCACUAGAAAUGCCAUUCCCUCUGGGAGCACAGGUUCAAAUCCUGUUGGUGUCG
rnacentral:tRNA from 3 species